UAAAGGUGAAAUAGUGGCAGGGGAGUCUGGGCCUCCCGACGGCAUGCUGUCUGCCUAUGUGGAGCGGACACGGUCAGUGAGAACAACAGACCAGCUCUUCGUCUCACUGGAUUGUGGACACGAUUACGACAGCAUACUGUCUGACCGGCAGGCCAGUGCUGAGAUCUGUGGUGGCACAUUCAACACGAGGUGUGAUUAUCUCCUGGGCUCUACUGAGAGGAGUGCCUGUCCACAAUGUAGAAAACAGCAUCGGACACAUCAACAGGUUGUUCUUUGACAUUCAUGGUGAAGAAGAGGGAUCCUCUGCUGAUCCAGAGAGUUUGCAGAGACUCGAGGGACAGACUGAAGAUAGUAGAGGGCUUGAAGGAGGCUGUGAACAGGCAGAAGAAAGACCUGGACAUUGUGAGGAAGGAGAUUGAAGAGAAAGAGAUGCUCAGCUCACAGGGAUGAACUACCUGGAGAACCAGCAAUGUGAGACCCAGGCUGCCAAGGAGGAGGCCCGAUGACUCCGGACCAAAAUGAAAACACAUGAGAGUCUGGAUGUGAUGUUGCAGAAUCAGAGAACGGAGGAGUCCAUGAUCACUGACAUGGGUGUUGGCCAGGCUGCAUGUGGAGCAGCUUUCCAUCUACUGCAUUUCUCUCAAGAA